GGGACCUUACCUCCUGGUGAACGGCGAUGUCCUUUACUGGGUGUCGUCGCAAACCAGGACGUUUACUUUGAAAAAAUUAGGGUGUUCAAAGCAGGCCUUUGCCCGAAUACAUUAGCAUGGAAUAAUAGAAUAGGACGCGCGUUCCCAUUUUGUUGGUUUCUGAGAUCGCCGUAAUGAUUAAUAGGGAUAGUUGGGGGCAUUUGUAUUCCGACGUCAGAGGUGAAAUUCUUGGAUUGCCGGAAGACAAACUACUGCGAAAGCAUUUGCCAAGGAUGUUUUCAUUGAUCAAGAACGAAGGAAGGGGGAUCGAAAACGAUUAGAUACCGUUGUAGUCUCUUCUGUAAACUAUGCCAAUUGGGGAUCGGCACAGGAUUUUUAAUGACUGUGUCGGCAUCCGAAGAGAAAUCUUUAAAUGAGGUUCGGGGGGGAGUAUGGUCGCAAGGCUGAAACUUAAAGGAAUUGACGGAAGGGCACCACCAGGAGU
rnacentral:rRNA from 1 species